rnacentral:rRNA from 1 species
GAGGAAGUAUAAGUCGUAACAAGGUUUCCGUAGGUGAACCUGCGGAAGGAUCAUUAAAGAAAUAAACCUGAUGGAAUGUAGCUGGCUCUCUCGGGAGCAUGUGCACCUCCGUCAUCUUUAUCUUUCCACCUGUGCACCCUUUGUAGAGAUUCUGUGGGACUUUCAGGCCUUCACUGGCCGCCCUCUCGCGAGGGUAGAAGGUUUCUCGGUCUCUACGUUUUAUUAUCUAUACACGCAUGUCAAAGAAUGUAAUCAUAAAGGCCAUAAAAAAGCCUAUAUAAACAAAAUACAACUUUCAGCAACGGAUCUCUUGGCUCUCGCAUCGAUGAAGAACGCAGCGAAAUGCGAUAAGUAAUGUGAAUUGCAGAAUUCAGUGAAUCAUCGAAUCUUUGAACGCACCUUGCGCUCCUUGGUAUUCCGAGGAGCAUGCCUGUUUGAGUGUCAUUAAAUCAUCAAAGCCUUUCCAGUUUUGCGACUGCGCUUAGGACUUUGGACUUGGGAGCGCUGUUGGCCCUUGUGGUCGACUCUCCUCAAAAGCAUUAGCUGGUAAAAGCUCUUGCAAACUGGACGCAUGGCGUGAUAAUUAUCAAUGCCCCGUUCAGUGAGCACCUAGUCAUGGGCGACCUCCGCUUCUAAUCGUCCCCCUUGGGACAAAUCUUUGACCAUUUGACCUCAAAUCAGGUAGGACUACCCGCUGAACUUAAGCAUAUC